AUUGAACGCUGGCGGCAUGCCUUACACAUGCAAGUCGAACGGUAACAGGUCUUCGGAUGCUGACGAGUGGCGAACGGGUGAGUAAUACAUCGGAACGUGCCUAGUAGUGGGGGAUAACUACUCGAAAGAGUGGCUAAUACCGCAUGAGAUCUAAGGAUGAAAGCAGGGGAUCGCAAGACCUUGUGCUACUAGAGCGGCCGAUGGCAGAUUAGGUAGUUGGUGGGAUAAAAGCUUACAAAGCCGACGAUCUGUAGCUGGUCUGAGAGGACGAUCAGCCACACUGGGACUGAGACACGGCCCAGACCCCUACGGGAGGCAGCAGUGGGGAAUUUUGGACAAUGGGCGCAAGCCUGAUCCAGCAAUGCCGCGUGCAGGAUGAAGGCCUUCGGGUUGUAAACUGCUUUUGUACGGAACGAAAAGCCCUGGGUUAAUACCCUGGGGUCAUGACGGUACCGUAAGAAUAAGCACCGGCUAACUACGUGCCAGCAGCCGCCGUAAUAC
rnacentral:rRNA from 1 species